AAAAGAAAAACAAAACUGAGCCUCUGAAAAUACUUGAAACAAAACUACAAAUGUGAUGGGAUGCAUUUGCUCAGCUGGGAGAUGAGCACCUUGACUCAUUCAGCAUGCAUCAAUUUCCUUCAAAUGAGUGAUGUGCCUUGACGGACAUUCUCACCAAACAGAGAAUCAGUCUCAAAAAUUGGUUGUGUUCGUGGAAUAGAAAGUGAGAAAGGAAAGAGAACUGAAGUCACAAACACAACACUAUAAAAUGUGUCCCUCUUCCUUCAAGGAAAAAAUGGAAGAAAAGAAAGAAGAAUCCCUGAAUGUCUCUCGUCUUGCUCCCACUUUGAAGGUGACAGGAGAGAACUGCAGGGCUGCAUUCAGCAUGGACAACACUUGUCCUCUUUGUCACCACAGCUAGGCUCACACUGGCGCUGAGUCAUGCUGCUGCUCACAACGGAGGAGUUUUCAAAGACUCACAAGACUCUAAGAAGUGGACUUGAGAGGACAGUCUGUCCAUUGCUCUCUCUAGGUCAGACUACUCUUCAGUCUACCAUGAAGCAAAAAUAGAUAGAGGGAGAUUCUGUCACUGACCAAGGAUUGGCGAAUCUUCAACAUCAGGACAUUUCUUGUAAUGCCUAAGCAAAAUUUCAGAUUUGCAUCUUAACUCAUUUUUUAAAUUUACUUUUCAUAGUGAAAAAUAACCUUGAUUCUAACUGUAAACAUACAUUAUAUAUAUAUCACAUGUGUGUUAAACUAUAUAUGUAUACACACAAUCAUAUAAUAUAGAGUGUAUGCACAAAGUAUUGUUUACUAAUAAAGUACUUGAGUUCUAGAGCCA